AUCCUGGCUCAGGACGAACGCUGGCGGCGUGCUUAACACAUGCAAGUCGAACGGAAAGGCCCCCACUUUUUUGGUGGGGGUGCUCGAGUGGCGAACGGGUGAGUAACACGUGGGUGAUCUGCCCUGUACUUCGGGAUAAGCUUGGGAAACUGGGUCUAAUACCGGAUAGGACCAUGGUUUAGCAUCUCAUGGUGGAAAAAUUAUUGUUUUGGUGCAGGAUGAGCUCGCGGCCUAUCAGCUUGUUGGUGGGGUAAUGGCCUACCAAGGCGUCGACGGGUAGCCGGCCUGAGAGGGUGGACGGCCACAUUGGGACUGAGAUACGGCCCAGACUCCUACGGGAGGCAGCAGUGGGGAAUAUUGCACAAUGGGCGCAAGCCUGAUGCAGCGACGCCGCGUGGGGGAUGACGGCCUUCGGGUUGUAAACUCCUUUCGUUAGGGACGAAGCCGCACCUGUUUUUGGGUGUGGUGACGGUACCUUUGUUAAGAAGCACCGGCUAACUACGUGCCAGCAGCCGCGGUAAUACGUAGGGUGCGAGCGUUGUCCGGAAUUACUGGGCGUAAAGAGCUCGUAGGUGGUUUGUUGCGUCGUCUGUGAAAUUCCGGGGCUUAACUUCGGGGUGGCAGGCGAUACGGGCAUAACUAGAGUGCUGUAGGGGAGACUGGAAUUCCUGGUGUAGCGGUGGAAUGCGCAGAUAUCAGGAGGAACACCGAUGGCGAAGGCAGGUCUCUGGGCAGUAACUGACGCUGAGGAGCGAAAGCAUGGGGAGCGAACAGGAUUAGAUACCCUGGUAGUCCAUGCUGUAAACGGUGGGCGUUAGGUGUGGGGACCGGUUUGGUUUCUGUGCCGUAGCUAACGCAUUAAGCGCCCCGCCUGGGGAGUACGGCCGCAAGGCUAAAACUCAAAGGAAUUGACGGGGGCCCGCACAAGCGGCGGAGCAUGCGGAUUAAUUCGAUGCAACGCGAAGAACCUUACCAAGGCUUGACAUGCGCCCCGGGCGCGCGGAGACGCGCGCGCAUUUGGUUGGGGGUGUGCAGGUGGUGCAUGGUUGUCGUCAGCUCGUGUCGUGAGAUGUUGGGUUAAGUCCCGCAACGAGCGCAACCCUUGUCUUAUGUUGCCAGCACGUUCAGGGUGGGGACUCAUGAGAGACUGCCGGGGUUAACUCGGAGGAAGGUGGGGAUGACGUCAAAUCAUCAUGCCCCUUAUGUCUUGGGCUUCACGCAUGCUACAAUGGCCGGUACAGAGGGUUGCGAUGCCGUGAGGCGGGGCGAAUCCCUUAAAGCCGGUCUCAGUUCGGAUUGGGGUCUGCAACUCGACCCCAUGAAGUCGGAGUCGCUAGUAAUCGCAGAUCAGCAAUGCUGCGGUGAAUACGUUCCCGGGCCUUGUACACACCGCCCGUCACGUCAUGAAAGUUGGUAACACCCGAAGCCCAUGGCCUAACCACCGUUUGGUGGGGGGAGUGGUCGAAGGUGGGAUUGGCGAUUGGGACGAAGUCGUAACAAGGUAGCCGUACCGGAAGGUGCGGCUG
rnacentral:rRNA from 1 species